rnacentral:rRNA from 1 species
UUUUAUUUGAGAGUUUGAUCCUGGCUCAGGAUGAACGCUGGCGGCGUGCCUAACACAUGCAAGUUGAGCGAUUUACUUCGGUAAAGAGCGGCGGACGGGUGAGUAACGCGUGGGUAACCUACCCUGUACACACGGAUAACAUACCGAAAGGUAUGCUAAUACGGGAUAAUAUAUUUGAGAGGCAUCUCUUGAAUAUCAAAGGUGAGCCAGUACAGGAUGGACCCGCGU